AUAAUACUCCCUCCGUUCGGAAUUACUUGUCAUCAAAAUGGAUGUGUCUAGAACUAAAAUACAUCUAGAUACAUCCAUUUCAAUGACAAGUAUUUUCAGACGGAGGGAGUAGUAG
rnacentral:pre_miRNA from 1 species